UAAAAUUCUAACUUGGCAUGUAAUAUUCAUAAAUUAGCCCAAUCUGUUACAUGUUUCAGGUUUCUGCAAUUCGGGAGAACAUUUUCCAGAUCUGCAGCAGCCGCAUGUUAUGAUAUUUUUUUUUAUAAUUUAACCAUAAUGAAUAAAUUACGAAAUUAAAUAUGUAAUCAUACGAGACAUAGAUCUGUUGAUAAAAAAAUUUCCAUAAUUUGUAAGGAUGUGUAACCUUACGGAAAAAUUUCUAGAAGUGAGAAUCGCUGCUGAAAAUUGGAAUUUUCCAGCACUAGUAACCCAAAUUCGAAAAACCAUAACAAUUUGCAUACUCAGAGGAUUUCCACACAAAACCUAUCAAUGGAAAACUUAGGAUGUCUAGUUUAAUGAUUUGUAAAUGAACUCAUGUGAUUCUAAAUAAAGAAAACGAUUUCAAGCAUUGAAUACAGACUGUUCAUAUCAUCACAGCAUUACAAACACACAUCUGUGGGAGUUACAAUUACACAUAAUUUACUAUUAUCAUGAUGUGGUGGUUUCAAAUGGCCACUUUUUGGCAAUUCAUUUUGGUAUUAAGCUAAAAGAUAAUGUUGAUUCUGUUGUCCAAAAGGUAACGCAUUUGGUGUUUUCAGAGAAAUUCUUUUGCUCAUUUCUUUGAAUUCAAAAUUUCCUAAAACAAUUAACAAUUAUUGUAUUCCAUUAUGAAUCUAUGAUGGCACUGUGAACGGGUGGAAGGAUGUUGAUUGGGUGUAGCAAGGUUAAGCUGCUCAGAACCAACCAAAGUGGUAUUGCGAGGUUUGGCGCUCAUUUUUUGCAUAUUUACGUGGAGAUGUGGUUGUUUCUUAAAUUUUUGGCGCAGUUUGGAUUGAGGUUGGGUAAAAAUUACAAAACUAAAAUAUUUAGUAAACAUUAACUAUUUUAAUGUGG
rnacentral:lncRNA from 1 species